UCCCUGGUGGUCUAGUGGUUAGGACUCUGCACUUCUACUGCAAGGCCAGAGGUUCGAUCCCUGUUAAGGGAA
rnacentral:tRNA from 1 species